rnacentral:rRNA from 1 species
AUUGAACGCUGGCGGAAUGCUUUACACAUGCAAGUCGAACGGUAGAGGGGGCAACCCCUCGAGAGUGGCGAACGGGUGAGUAAUAUAUCGGAACGUGCCCAGUCGUGGGGGAUAACGUAGCGAAAGUUACGCUAAUACCGCAUACGAUCUAAGGAUGAAAGCGGGGGAUCGCAAGACCUCGCGCGAUUGGAGCGGCCGAUAUCAGAUUAGGUAGUUGGGGGGGUAAAGGCUCACCAAGCCAACGAUCUGUAGCUGGUCUGAGAGGACGACCAGCCACACUGGAACUGGGAAACGGUCCAGACUCCUACGGGAGGCAGCAGUGGGGAAGUUUGGACAAUGGACGCAAGUCUGAUCCAGCCAUUCCGCGUGCAGGAUGAAGGCCCUCGGGUUGUAAACUGCUUUUGUACGGAACGAAAAGGUCUCUCUUAAUACGGGGGACUCAUGACGGUACCGUAAGAAUAAGCACCGGCUAACUACGUGCCAGCAGCCGCCGUAA